AGCCCUGCGGUGAGCACAAAGCGAACUAUUCUUUCGCCUUUUACUAAAGAAUACCGUGUGCGCGCCGCAUAUUGGGGCAUACGCCAAUUUUUGGAGGGCUCUUCGUUCUUUGUUGAGCCC
rfam:Prunus persica cultivar Lovell chromosome G1, whole genome shotgun sequence.